AUACGGAGGGUGCAAGCGUUAUCCGGAUUCACUGGGUUUAAAGGGUGCGUAGGUGGGUAUGUAAGUCAGUGGUGAAAUCCCCGAGCUUAACUUGGGAACUGCCGUUGAUACUAUAUAUCUUGAAUGUCGUAGAGGUUAGCGGAAUAUGUCAUGUAGCGGUGAAAUGCUUAGAUAUGACAUAGAACACCAAUUGCGAAGGCAGCUAGCUAUGCGAUUAUUGACACUGAGGCACGAAAGCGUGGGUAGC
rnacentral:rRNA from 1 species